UACCCUAUAGGUAUUUGAAGUUUGAAUACUCAGAUGCUGAAAGCGUGAGCGCCAGAGGGUGAGUCUGCGGCCUAUCAGGUAGUAGGUGGUGUAAUGGACCACCUAGCCUAAGACGGGUACGGGCCUUGAGAGAGGAAGCCCGGAGAUGGAUUCUGAGACACGAAUCCAGGCCCUACGGGGCGCAGCAGGCGCGAAACCUUCACACUGCGCGUAAGCGCGAUGAGGGGAGACCGAGUGCCUUCUCUUUACGGGAAGGCUUUUCACAAGCCUAAAAAGCUUGUGGAAUAAGGGCUGGGCAAGACGGGUGCCAGCCGCCGCGGUAAUACCCGCAGCUCAAGUGGUGGUCGCUAUUAUUGAGCCUAAAACGUCCGUAGUCGGCUUUGUAAAUCCCUGGGUAAAUCGGGUUGCUUAACGAUCCGAUCCCUGGGGAGACUGCAAAGCUUGGGACCGGGCGAGGUUAGAGGUACUCUCGGGGUAGGGGUGAAAUCCUGUAAUCCCGAGGGGACCACCUGUGGCGAAAGCGUCUAACUUGAACGGCUCCGACGAUGAGGGACGAAGGCUAGGGGAGCAAACCGGAUUAGAUACCCGGGUAGUCCUAGCUGUAAACACUGAACGCUUGGUGUGGCCUGUCCUCCGGGGGCAGGCCGUGCCGGAGCGAAGGUGUUAAGCGGGCUGCUUGGGGAAUACGGCCGCAAGGUUGAAACUUAAAGGAAUUGGCGGGGGAACACCGCAACGGGAGGAUGCGUGCGGUUUAA
rnacentral:rRNA from 1 species